rnacentral:rRNA from 1 species
AUGGAGCAGAACACGGCGACGAAACCCAUCAGAUGCAAAGCGGCGGUGAGCAAGGUGGCCGGGCAGCCGCUGGAGAUGGAGGAGGUGGAGGUGGCGCCGCCGCGGGCGCACGAGGUCGGCAUCAGGAUUCUCUGCACCUCGCUCUGCCACACCGACGUCACCUUCUGGCGCAUGAAGGAUUUCCCGGGCCAGCAUCCGAUAAUCCUGGGCCAUGAAGCAGCCGGCGUGGUGGAGAGCGUGGGGGAGCACGUGCACGAGGUGGCCGUCGGGGACACGGUGGUGCCGGUGUUCUCGGCGCAGUGCGGCGACUGCCCCGACUGCCUCUCGGACCGCAGCAACAUCUGCUCCGGGCUCCCCGCCGGGCCCGGCAUGCCCCGCGACGGCACUACCCGCUUCUCCUUCGCCGCCACCGGCGAGCCCAUCCACAACUUCAUCGGCGUGUCCAGCUUCACCGAGUACACGGUUGUCGACGUGUCAAACGUCGUCAGGAUCGGGCCCGGCGUCCCGCCGGAGAAGGCCUGCCUGCUCAGCUGCGGCGUCUCCACCGGUGUUGGCGCGGCGUGGAAGGUGGCCGCGGUGGAGCCCGGGUCCAGCGUCGCCGUGUUCGGGCUCGGCGUCGUCGGGUUAGCGGUAACGUUCGACGACGACACCUCGGAAUCACAUGCCCCUGCUAAUAAUGUGAUGUCUGGUUCAAGUUGUCGGCUCGAAUGCUGGCCUGACGUUCUAGUGGUAGCACAAGGGUGCAGGAUGCGUGGGGCUAAGCAGAUUAUUGGAGUGGAUCUGAACCCGGAGAAGCGCGACAUCGGUAAGAGGCUGGGAAUCACCGACUUCAUCAAUCCGAACGACACCGGGGAGAAGGCCGUGAGCGAGGUCGUCAAGGAGAUGACCGGCGGCGGCGCCGACUACUGCUUCGAGUGCAUCGGCUCGACGUCGGCCAUGGCGGAGGCAUUCCAAAGCUCCCGGAAGGGCUGGGGGAAGACGAUCGUGCUCGGCGUCUCCAGCGGCGGCGCGCCGAUGAGCAUACCCCCGCACGACAUCCUCUGGGGGAGGUCGGUCGUCGGCUCGCUCUUCGGCGGGCUCAAGCCCAAGACCGACAUCCCGAUCCUGGCGCAGAAGUAUCUGGACGAGGAGCUGGAGCUGGACGAGUUCGUGACGCACGAGAUGGGGUUCCACGACAUCAACGCGGCGUUCGAGCUGCUCACGCAGGGGAAGUGCCUCAGGUGCAUCCUCUGGAUGGACGGGGCCAGGGAGAACGGUAGUGUCGGUGUGGAAAAUGGACGCGCGUGCAAGGCCAAGGCGUGA